rfam:Pteropus alecto contig67937, whole genome shotgun sequence.
GAACUUGCUUUGGUGACAAAUUCAUGUACUAAAACUAGAAAAAUACAGAAAAGAUUGACACGACUCAGGCACAGGAAUGACACACAAAUUCUUAAAAUGUUUUCUUAUUUU